GCGCCCGUAGCUCAGCUGGACUAGAGCAGGGGACUUCUAAUCCUCAGGUUGCAGGUUCGAGUCCUGCCGGGCGCG